UCCCUCAGGCCUGUGUAGUUGACAGAGGUCUCUUAGAGCUGCAUGAGGCCUGAGAGGAGGCAUUCCCUAUUGUCAUAGUUAGAAGUUGAUGUUCGCUGACGUUAAACCAGUUAGCCAGGUACACGAAGGCUUGUGGCAGAGCGGAGCUAGCUCUGUCAGCACCGGUGCCUUUUAGAGUUGCUUGAUGAUUCUGUUCACCUGGGUCUUUGGUUUGAUUGUGAGUGACCAUAGGCACAACUCUUGCGAUUUGGCUUCUUGCUUUGUAUUGUUAAUAAGUGUUUCAGAACUUGUUUUCUUAGUGAAAUCAAGUAUCGAGAAUCUAGAGUUUAUAUGCACAUAUGCUCCCUUCAUAUAUACAUAUACACACACCAACACCUGUUAUUUUUUUUUAAUAAAUCACUUCUUUAAAAAAAAGAAUCUAGAAGCCAGAGAGCUAGCACAGUGGUGAAAAGCAUGGACUCCUCUUAGGAAGGCUCCAGCACCCAUGUCACACAGCUGAGGAAAAGAAAGUGUGAUUAAAAUUAAAAAGGAUGACUUCUAAUUUAAAUAAUAUGUAACAUCAGUUCUGGACUCCCUGUAUUUUGGGACCUCCUGCUCCUACUGCACAAGUGCAGGUCGGGCACUUCUAAUCCAAAAGGCUGUAACAUCUGAAACUUGAGUACUCACAUGAUACUCUCUGACUCUCAGGUUUUCGGGCAUUUUAGAUUUUAUAUUUUCAGAUUCUUGGUGUUCAGCUAGAAAAGCAGAAAUGUAUAUUUCUGAUCCCAAACAUUUCUGAGAGGAGAAAGACAAGUUGUAUUAGUAACUAGACCUCCUUGUGUGUGGUGUGCUUCCCCUAAUAGAGCAUCUGUCUAGGAACUAUGACUUGUAUUUCAUUUUUUAUUUCAUCUCAACUUGAGCUUAACUAGAGCUUUCAAUUCCUAAAUCGGAAUUACAUUCUCUGAGCUUAUAUUUUUUCUCCUUUUAAAGUUACAUUAAUGAACUGUUUGAGCCUCUUUCUUGUGAUUCAUUUAUCUGCUAUAACUUCUUUUUAAGGCUUCAGCACUAAAGGUCUUUUGACAAACCAAUAUUUAUAACAGUUUGACGGCUGGGUGAGGAGCAGCAUUUGUCUUUGUAACAGCUUGAAGACAGACCCUCUCCAGGACCCAGUCAUGCAGUUACAAUCUUGGCCUCCUUUCUUGUGCUGGGAACAUGCAUCCUGCAGCACCUCCCAUGUGUUUCCUUGUCCCAUUGACUAUCCAUUCACUUCCCAUCUGUUUUGCAGUCUUAAAGGAACAGAAGGGGCCCUCUUCUUAUAAAUCUGUCUUUGCAAGUGAUAAAUGAUGCCCUAUCUCUUUAAGGGCUGCCUGGGUGGUUUUUCUUUUCUUAUAGUGUUUCAGCUUUCCUCCUAGCAAACUCAGAGUAAAAUAUACUUUUAAAAAUAAGAGAAAUACAGAAAAGACAAAACACUAUGAAGUUUAAAAGCCAUAAUUACUUUGAUGGAACAGAAUAAUCUCCUGACUUUUUCCAUCUUCUCAAGUAGUUGCCUGUGUCACUAUAUCUUUGAAAUGUGAUAUCUAGAUUUUUCUAUACUAACCAUACACUGACAAAUGAAAUGAUUCAUUUUGACAAAGUAUAUUUUAGCUAUUAGAGGAGAAAGAAAACAAUAUAUCACUAAUGAAUUAGAAUGUCAAAUAACUUUACAUUUGUAUUAUCAUAAUUGAGUUGAUAUAAUUUGAAAUAUUUUGUGUGCUGAACACAAAAUAAAGUGACUCACAGUACCCAUCUGUAACCUCGUGAUAGAUUCUGUGGUCUUUACUAGAAAAAGAUGAUCAUGAGGGUCAUAAAAGCUUUUCUUUUUUUUCUUUUUGAUUGCUACUAUAUCUGGUCCUGAAAGCAUAUGCUAUAAUACUUCUAAUGUUGGCUUUUCUAAGAAUUGAGCAUAGCAUAGCAAGGCAUGGGAGGGUAUUACUGUAAUCUCACUACUCAGAAGGCUGAGUCAGGAGAUUGCCAUGAAUUCAAGUUCAAAACUCAGCUGGACUACAAAGUGAGUUCUUGGCCAACCUGGGAUAAAGCAAAGCCUUGUCUUUU
rnacentral:lncRNA from 1 species